rnacentral:rRNA from 1 species
UACAGAGGUCUCAAGCGUUGUUCGGAUUCAUUGGGCGUAAAGGGCGCGUAGGCUGCGGGGCAAGUCGGGGGUGAAAUCUCAGAGCUCAACUCUGAAACUGCACUCGAUACUGCUUUGCUCGAGGACUGGAGAGGAGAUUGGAAUUCACGGUGUAGCAGUGAAAUGCGUAGAUAUCGUGAGGAAGACCAGUGGCGAAGGCGGAUCUCUGGACAGUUCCUGACGCUGAGGCACGAAGGCCAGGGGAGCAAACGGG